CCCUAUGGGGUGCUGUUGGCUGCCAAUAUUGUUAUUGCCUGGAUUACCGUUAUGAUACUGCGAAAACGCAGCAAGAAAGAGACACCCAGAGUGGCGGAACCCCGGCCAAUUGCCAGACCCGAUGCAAUCGUUUCGACAUCAGCAUCAACGCCGGCAACAACUUCUCAAUCAUAAAGGUGGAGUGUGUUCAUGACACCCUUACAAAUCAUAUUUAUUAUCAAUGCGGUUAUCACAUUGUUUGCUGCCAUUAAAGUGGUCACCAGCCGGAAUUUGGUCCAUGCAGCUUUGUGGCUCAUAUUGGUAUUUUUCGGGAUUGCGGUAUUGUUCGUCAUGCUGGAUGCAGGAUUUUUGGCUGUUGCACAGGUUGUUAUCUAUAUCGGUGCAAUUGCUAUCCUAAUGAUAUUUACCAUAAUGUUAACCCGGCGGGUAGCCAAGGAUAGCGGAGCGCAGUUAAAUUCGAAUUGGCGGGGGGGC
rnacentral:rRNA from 1 species